CCUACGGGAGGCAGCAGUGAGGAAUAUUGGUCAAUGGGCGGAAGCCUGAACCAGCCAAGUAGCGUGCGGGAUGAAGGCCCUACGGGUCGUAAACCGCUUUUGCACGGGGAUAACACCCUCCACUUGUGGAGGUCUGCAGGUACCGUGCGAAUAAGGGCCGGCUAAUUCCGUGCCAGCAGCCGCGGUAAUACGGAAGGCCCGAGCGUGAUCCGGAUUCAUUGGGCCUAAAGGGCGCGUAGGCGGGAGUUCAAGUCAGCUGUAAAAUUGCGCGGCUCAACCGCGCCCCGCAGUUGAAACUGGACGCCUUGAGUUCACAACAGGCAGGCGGAAUUCGUGGUGUAGCGGUGAAAUGCAUAGAUAUCACGAGGAACCCCGAUUGCGAAGGCAGCCUGCCGGGGUGCGACUGACGCUGAGGCUCGAAGGUGCGGGUAUCAAACAGGAUUAGAUACCCUGGUAGUC
rnacentral:rRNA from 1 species